AUUGCCAAUUUUUAUCUAAAUAAAUACCAAGUUGUACAAGAAUUUCACAGAAAUGCGAGCAAGAGCUUACGUGCUCGCAGUUAACAGAAAAUACGACUGUCAUGGCGUCCUUCGCCCACCCUGCAGGAACUUACGCGUAAAAAUGGACGUGAUGGUGUAAAGAAUUAACAUUUUCCAAUCUAUAAUGUUAUAAACUAUGGUAACUAACGUAUGUACAUAUGUUUUAUAUUGCCCCACAUUAUAUAUUAUUAAUAAAUACUUUUUAGAUAUUUUGAAUGGUUGAAAGUAAACAAAUGAGUUUUUUGUUAUGUUAUUUCAUGUUUGAACUAACGUUACUUUUGUUUUAGAAUUUUUAAUGGCGUUUCUUAUUUAUUAACCAAUAAUGCAUAAACAAAAUAGUGCAUGAAGGAAACCAGGUUCUCUACAUGUAUGAAACAAUGUAGGAUAAUACCGUAUUUUUUUUUUUUUUAAGUUCAACUUAAAUUUUUAUUUCGCGGAAGUCGUGGGUAAUGACUCACGUCUAGUGACUUUAAAGGAAUUCACAAAAAAGCAUAUUUCUCGGACGAGUUUUCGUUUAUGGCCGAUGUACAUACACGAUGCAACAAAAGCGUUCGUGAAAAGCGUUCGAAGCUCGCAUCUCGAAACUUCCAUGCAUGGAUGUGUUGACACGGUUCGAGAUAUAAAUCGGAUGUACCUAUGUAUUUCAUUCGAGUUUAAUGCCACACGUUAAUCACGCACGAGAAACUCGGUAACUAAUAAACAAAUUUGAACUCGGGUCGAGUUCGUUCGCGCUAACAUGCGUGCACGCACGUAAACAUAUGUCCCAAAAGCGGCCAAGCUAAAAACUAAUAACUGUGCAUAAAGGCUGGUUCAGACACGGCUAGUAAUUUAGUCGAGUGGGGAGUAGCUAUUUACUACUAAACCGUUUAGCGCAUAGAAAAGUGUCAGGACUAGUACAGUUGAUCUUUGGAAAUCGAGAGUACAGUCUUGAUCCGUAAUAAGCAACAGUUUUUUGGCUCGAAGUAAGCAAAUCUCUAUCCCCUCUUCUUUGUUUGAAGUCGCCCGCAAAGUGAGAGGCCCGAGAAAUGAGUGAGAGGUUCGUGAAAGCGAGAAGCCGAUGUUUUGGGUAAUAAAUUGUCACGCUUGACUGAGCAGUGACAUCGGUUAGUAGAAGAAGGAUGGAAUAUAUAUAAUGCUUUCCCAGUCUAGCAUAUUUGCCUUGAAAUAAGCGAAAUAGUGCGAGAAUGAGAGGGCAUGCUAUAUUCUAUCCUUGUUCAAAAAAUAACAUCCUUGCUCGGCCGAUCACUUUGAUUUGCCACUAACUCGGAUGUCUCACUCGUUUCUCGUGUUAUUUAUCGUCCCGUUUCGAGAACAAAGUCGAGCCGAAUAGCAUACCUGAUCCGUAAUAAGCAAGUGGCCAGACCCGAAUGUGUUGUUUAUUACGAGGCAAUCCUGUACAAGAUAUAUCGCUUGACUAAAGAAAUGGGUCCGGACCAGUGAUGUCAGAAUCGUGGGACGUGGGACAAAUUUUUACCCUCUCCACAUCGUCCCAGUGACUCCCCUACUUCAGUUGUUUCAUCUAACACAAGCGUGUUGUCCCACGUGUCCGUGUGAGCUCUCCGUUCGGCUGCUCUCGUCAUCUCUUCGUUAUCGGCUCGAUGCUGAAGCCGCCUAAGCAUGUGGCAGCAGCAUCGACGAAUCGAUAAAAUAAUAUAAUUUCGUCCAUAGCACUAUGGUAGAAGUGAGAAACCAGGAGAUUCAGUUCGAAUCCCGAUUCUACGGUUUCAGUUCUGAUUCUUAAUGCAUUAACAUUUUUUUAAUACAUAAAAAUACAUUUUUAAUACAUUAAUACUGUGAAAUACAUUGACUUGGGAA